UGAGCAAUCUGCCCUUCUCUUCGGAAUAAGCGUGGGAAACCGCGUCUAAUGCCGAAUACGACCUCCUUUCGCAUGAUCGGAGGUGGAAAGCUCCGGCGGAGAAGGAUGAGCUCGCGGCCUAUCAGCUUGUUGGUGAGGUAAUGGCUCAUCAAGGCGACGACGGGUAGCCGGCCUGAGGAGGGCGAGUCGGCCCACACGUGGGACUGAGACACCGGCCCAGACCUNUACGGGA
rnacentral:rRNA from 1 species